AGCGAACGCUGGCGGCAGGCCUAACACAUGCAAGUCGAACGGAUCCUUCGGGAUUAGUGGCGGACGGGUGAGUAACACGUGGGAACGUGCCCUUUGGUUCGGAACAACUCAGGGAAACUUGAGCUAAUACCGGAUGUGCCCUUCGGGGGAAAGAUUUAUCGCCAUUGGAGCGGCCCGCGUCUGAUUAGCUAGUUGGUGAGGUAACGGCCCACCAAGGCGACGAUCAGUAGCUGGUCUGAGAGGAUGAUCAGCCACACUGGGACUGAGACGCGGCCCAGACUCCUACGGGAGGCAGCAGUGGGGAAUCUUGCGCAAUGGGCGGAAGCCUGACGCAGCCAUGCCGCGUGAAUGAUGAAGGUCUUAGGAUUGUAAAAUUCUUUCAGCGGGGACGAUAAUGACGGUACCCGCAGAAGAAGCUCCGGCUAACUUCGUG
rnacentral:rRNA from 1 species